AACAAGGAUUCCCCUAGUAACUGCGAGUGAAGCGGGAAAAGCUCAAAUUUGAAAUCUGGUGGUUCUUGACCGUCCGAGUUGUAAUCUAGAGAAGUGUUACCUGUGCUGGACCGUGUAAAAGUCUCCUGGAAUGGAGCAUCAUAGAGGGUGAGAAUCCCGUCUUUGACACGGACUACCUGUACAUUAUGGUGCGCUCUCAAAGAGUCGAGUUGUUUGGGAAUGCAGCUCAAAAUGGGUGGUAAAUGCCAUCUAAAGCUAAAUAUUGGCGAGAGACCGAUAGCGAACAAGUACCGUGAGGGAAAGAUGAAAAGAACUUUGGAAAGAGAGUUAAACAGUACGUGAAAUUGCUGAAAGGGAAACGCUUGAAGUCAGUCACGUUGGCUAGAAAUCAGCCUUGCUCUUGCUUGGUGUAUUUUCUGGUCGACGGGUCAGCAUCAAUUUUGACCAUUGGAUAAAGUCUUUGGGAAUGUGGCAUCUUAGGAUGUGUUAUAGCCCAUUGUCGCAUACGGUGGUUGGGAUUGAGGAACUCAGCACGCCGCAAGGCCAGGUUUUUUGACCAUGUUCGUGCUUAGGAUGCUGGCAUAAUGGCUUUAAUCGACCCGUCUUGAAACACGGACCAAGGAGUCUAACAUGCCUGCGAGUGUUUGGGUGG
rnacentral:rRNA from 1 species